UAGUAUCCUAUCAUAGAGAUGUAUUAAUUAAGUGCUGCUGCUCAGGACAUCAAAAAUCUGCCCAGCACUGCUAGCCGUCAAGUAGCUCCAAGCCCCCAGGAUUGAAUCCAAUGGGCAAGGCAAAUGUGACCACAAGCUACAGGAACUUGAGAUGGGUGACAAGGCUACUGAGCAGAAGCUCAGAUCUGAAAAAAACCAUCCUCUGAUCAAUAGGCAGAUGAAAAAGUUGUCAACAGAGCAGUGAAAUAUUCUGUCUUUUUAGCACAAACAUAUCCAAAUAAGAUUUCUCUUUAUUUACAUUA